rnacentral:rRNA from 1 species
GUGCCAGCCGCCGCGGUAAAACGUAGGUCCCGAGCGUUGUCCGGAAUUACUGGGCGUAAAGAGCGUGUAGGCGGGUGAUUAAGUCAGGCGUGAAAGACCGGGGCUCAACUCCGGGGUGGCGCUUGAAACUGGUCAUCUUGAGGGCAGGAGAGGGAAGUGGAAUUCCUGGUGUAGCGGUGAAAUGCGUAGAUAUCAGGAGGAACACCAGUGGCGAAGGCGGCUUCCUGGACUGACCCUGACGCUGAGACGCGAAAGCGUGGGGAGCAAACAGGAUUAGAUACCCUGGUAGUCCACGCUGUAAACGAUGGGCACUAGGUGUAGGAGGUAUCGACCCCUUCUGUGCCGCAGCAAACGCAAUAAGUGCUCCGCCUGGGGAGUACGGUCGCAAGGCUGAAACUCAAAUAAAUUGGCGG